GAUGAACGCUAGCGGCAGGCUUAACACAUGCAAGUCGAGGGGUAGAAGCAGCUUGCUGCUUUGAGACCGGCGCACGGGUGCGUAACGCGUAUGCAAUCUACCUUUUACAGAGGGAUAGCCCAGAGAAAUUUGGAUUAAUACCUCAUAGUAUGUGAGAAUCGCAUGGUUUUCACAUUAAAGUUCCAACGGUAAAAGAUGAGCAUGCGUCCCAUUAGCUAGAUGGUAAGGUAACGGCUUACCAUGGCGACGAUGGGUAGGGGUCCUGAGAGGGAGAUCCCCCACACUGGUACUGAGACACGGACCAGACUCCUACGGGAGGCAGCAGUGAGGAAUAUUGGACAAUGGGCGCAAGCCUGAUCCAGCCAUGCCGCGUGCAGGAUGACGGUCCUAUGGAUUGUAAACUGCUUUUGUACAGAACGAAAAGGUCUCUAUUAAUACUAGGGGCUCAUGACGGUACUGUAAGAAUAAGCACCGGCU
rnacentral:rRNA from 1 species